CAGGACCAGGCCCUGCAAGGAGACUUUGCCAGCAGCAUAUGGAAAGACCAAGAUGAAUGUGAUCUUCCACCUGUCUAUUUUGUUCAUCUUUCUGGACUUGUGCCAUGAACAUUGCAUCCAUAAUUCCUUUACCGCUGACAAUAAAGAUGGUGAAUGUACUGAUUCUUAUGGUGCAAGCAAGCAUCCAUCUGGGUCAGCGUGGAAUACAUCUGAGUGCAUGAGUUGCGAGUGUAAUAAUGGCACCAUGAGCUGCUGUUC